rnacentral:rRNA from 1 species
CCUACGGGUGGCAGCAGUGGGGAAUAUUGCACAAUGGGGGGAACCCUGAUGCAGCGAUGCCGCGUGGGGGAAGAAGGUUUUCGGAUUGUAAACUCCUUUCAUCAGGGACGAUAAUGACGGUAACUGAAGAAAAAGCUCCUGCUAACUACGUGCCAGCAGCCGCGGUAAUACGUAGGGAGCGAGCGUUGUCCGGAAUUACUGGGUGUAAAGGGAGCGUAGGCGGGACGGCAAGUCAGAGGUGAAAACUUAGGGCUCAACCUUGAGACUGCAUUUGAAACUGCUGGUCUCGAGUGAAGUAGAGGUAAGCGGAAUUCCUAGUGUAGCGGUGAAAUGCGUAGAUAUUAGGAGGAACAUCAGUGGUGAAGGCGGCUUACUGGGCUUUUACUGACGCUGAGGCUCGAAAGCGUGGGGAGCAAACAGGAUUAGAUACCCCUGUAGUC